rnacentral:rRNA from 1 species
GAUGAACGCUAGCGGCAGGCUUAACACAUGCAAGUCGAACGGUAAGUUUGGUAGCAAUAUCAAACCAAGAGUGACGUACGGGUGCGUAACACGUAUGCAACCUACCUUGUACAGGAGUAUAGCUCGGGGAAACUCGAAUUAACCCUCCAUGAGAUCAUAGAAUGGCAUCAUUUAGUGAUUAAAACUCAGGUGGUACAAGAUGGGCAUGCGUCUGAUAGUUAGUUGGCGGGGUAAUGGCCCACCAAGACGAUGAUCAGUAGGGGACCUGAGAGGGUGACUCCCCA